ensembl:lncRNA
AAUAAAUUCAGUAAGAGAGAGAAACGAAAAAAGGUCCGUUUUUUCAUUUUCUGAGACCGGAAGUGGUCAUCAGCAAGCGUGGAGCCAAACAGAGUACGGUGCAUAGACUGGAUAGAAUUUUUUUUGUUAGUUUUCAUGGUCAAAAUGAGACAUCAGGUGGCCGAUCUUAAAAUAAAUCAAUAUUGAUUUUUAUAGAGCGUUAAAGUUUUGCGAAGCCAGGGGGCGGGACUACUUGAUUGACAGUCUGGUCUGGAAUGAUUGACAGGAUCCUAUGAAGGAGGCAGCAGGGACUCUGUUCUCCUCGUUUGGAUUAAUUCUGAUAUAAUAACUGUUGGUUUAUUUAUCGGUGCAGCAGCAGAACCUUUUCCACAGACAGUUUUCCUGCCUGUUGGCUUGUUUUAACCAGUUUUCGACCUUCAGCUGAUUCUACCAGCAGACACUGAAAGGACUCUUGAUUGUUCGGUCCCUCUCUAUCUCCCCACACAUCCACCAACCACUGGAACACAUCUCCAAAGUUCUGCUGGACCAGCUCAGCUUCCCCUCAGAAGAAGUGCCGCCACCUGCCAGAUGAAGGAGCCUUUUGAGAGGCAGCUGGCAUCGUGAUUGGACUGUACUUUGGUCUGUUCCAAUCCAGCUUCAGCUCCAGAGACGGCAGGCGGGACGAGUCAACGGAGGCCUGGUGGAUGAAGGCAUGUAGCUGAGUACAAUCCAGAAAACAACAGAGGAGGAGUGCAGCAGCCAGAACAAGCAGAGUAGCAUCGUAUGUCUCUUAGAAAACAUCAUAGUAUAGCCUUUGCUAUGAAAAAACGCCAUCAUAUACAUCAUAUAUUGUACAAAUAACAAGUCAAAGGAAAGAGACAUCAACUGUAGAAUUGUAGUAAUUGUGGGCUGACUGAUUUACUGAUUAGCAGCAUUUUAUUUUUUACUGAUUUACGGUAAUAAAUACAUUUAAAAAUGGCGCUACUUUGGCUCUGAACCUUUAUCUACCUGUGGUCGCUCUGUCUUCUGGAGUGAUUUGAUUGGUUAUACGUCAUGAAUAAAACUCCUUUAACUUAACAUUUGUAAACAAAACAAAAACGUAUCAACAAAGUUUUCUGUUAGAGUUUGUGUUCUUCUAAGUUUAACUCCAAGAUUUUAAAUACUUUCAUUGACUGCAAAUGAAUAUCUACUCCAAAUGUCUCAUUAAUAAUCAUUAUCAGCCUUAAAAACCCACAAAACACCUCUCUAUACUGGAC